ACCAAUGGCAGGCCGGGCGGGGCAGCGUAAGCUGACCGGCUUGGUGCAUCUAUCCUCCGGCUUCCACCCCCGCCGUCGGCCUGCCACCUCC
rnacentral:antisense_RNA from 1 species